UCCACCUGGGGGCUGAGACCAUCU
rnacentral:piRNA from 1 species